rnacentral:rRNA from 1 species
GAUGAACGCUGGCGGCGUGCUUAACACAUGCAAGUCGAACGGUGAACACGGAGCUUGCUCUGUGGGAUCAGUGGCGAACGGGUGAGUAACACGUGAGCAACCUGCCCCUGACUCUGGGAUAAGCGCUGGAAACGGCGUCUAAUACUGGAUAUGUGACGUGACCGCAUGGUCUGCGUUUGGAAAGAUUUUUCGGUUGGGGAUGGGCUCGCGGCCUAUCAGCUUGUUGGUGAGGUAAUGGCUCACCAAGGCGUCGACGGGUAGCCGGCCUGAGAGGGUGACCGGCCACACUGGGACUGAGACACGGCCCAGACUCCUACGGGAGGCAGCAGUGGGGAAUAUUGCACAAUGGGCGCAAGCCUGAUGCAGCAACGCCGCGUGAGGGAUGACGGCCUUCGGGUUGUAAACCUCUUUUAGCAGGAAAGAAGCGAAAGUGACGGUACCCGCAGAAAAAGCGCCGGCUAACUACGUG